GCAAAAGAACUUUGAUCCGCGGAUUUCCGAAUGGGGCAACCCACUCUAAGUUAAAUUAGGGUAUCCUUUCGAGGAGGCAUACCCGGGGAACUGAAACAUCUAAGUACCCGGAGGAAGAGAAAACAAUAGUGAUUCCGCAAGUAGUGGCGAGCGAACGCGGAUUAGCCCAAACCGUAACAGUUACGGCUGUUGCGGGGUUGUAGGACUGCACUGUGGACUAUACAAACGAACUUGAACGACUUGGGAAAGUCGGCCAUAGAGGGUGAAAGCCCCGUAAAGGUAAGGUUGUAUUACCUAGCAGUAUCCUGAGUAGGGCGGGACCGGAGAAAUCCCGUCUGAAUCCACCGGCACCAUCCGGUAAGGCUAAAUACUCCUGAGAGACCGAUAGUGAACUAGUACCGUGAGGGAAAGGUGAAAAGUACCCUGAA
rnacentral:rRNA from 1 species